UAGUCCAUGCUGUAAACGGUGGGCGCUAGGUGUGAGUCCCUUCCACGGGGUUCGUGCCGUAGCUAACGCAUUAAGCGCCCCGCCUGGGGAGUACGGCCGCAAGGCUAAAACUCAAAGGAAUUGACGGGGGCCCGCACAAGCGGCGGAGCAUGUGGAUUAAUUCGAUGCAACGCGAAGAACCUUACCUGGGCUUGACAUACACCGGAUCGGGCCAGAGAUGGUCUUUCCCUUUGUGGCUGGUGUAC
rnacentral:rRNA from 1 species